AGAGAGAGCUAUAGAUAGGGGAACUCAACAGGGCUAAAUUCCCCUAAAUUUAAAAAUGCUUGUGUAGGAGAUCGUGUUUGUUUGUUUGGAAGAUCUUGUUUGUUUGUUUGGAUAGCAUGUAUGUGUGUGAGCAUGUGAAUUUCCGAACGGCUGAGAGAGAGACAGAGUUUCAGAGGCAGUCCCAGUUGAUUGAUGCUUAUUCAUGCGUAGGUGUGGAUUAAUGUUGGAUAUGAGUGUGUGCGCGCGUGUGUGAACAUCACAUUGUCGCUACAUUUUUCUCCUUUCCUGUUGUCAUUUGCCCUCAAGCCUCCCUGUCUCUAACCAUACAGCGUGUAACACACUCUCUAAGUUUCAGUGUGUUAGGGGUACAUACAGGCUGAGUGGUAAGGUUGUAUAACAGCAAGGUAUAACAACAGCAUGUUACAUGUGUAUGGGCUGUAUAAGCAGUAUGUUAGAGCAGGUAUACAAACUGUGUUUCAGAGAGGUUAAAUCAACAGUAUAUUAGAGGUAUAUGUGUUAGAGAAGGUUUAUAAACAUUGUGUUAGAGGUAUAUGUGUCUCAGCAGGUGUAUAAACAGUGUGUUAGAGGUAUAUGUGUCUCAGCAGGUGUAUAAACAGUGUGUUAGAGGUAUAUGUGUAUCAGCAGGUGUAUAAACAGUGUGUUAGAGGUAUAUGUGUGAUGUGCAAACCGGGAGCUUCAGGGUGUUUGUUUUGCGAGGACGUGUGGUGAAGAUCAGAUGAUGAUACCAUCGGGACGCCAGGGACAAGAUAUACAGGGAGAGAGCUCUCUCUCUCUCUCUCUCUCUCUCUCUCUCUCUCUCUCUCUCUCUCUCUCUCUCUCUCUCUCUCUCUCUCUCUCUCUCUCUCUCUCUCGCUCUCUCUCUAAAAGAGGACUUGGCUCUUUGAGGGAAGAGGGAAGAGCUUCUCACAACACAAACACACUGAACUGAUUUUAAUGUUUUAUGUCAGUGAUACUGCCGUCAAAGAAACCCUCAGAAUGCUCAAAAAUGAUAUUCCGACAUAGCAUGAAGCUACAUACUUCAUGCAUUCCCUUUUACUACGCCUCAUCUACUACUUCAUACUACUCAUACUACUGCAUGCAUAUACAUCGUCUUUAUUUUUUUUUACAUUUUGACACUUAGCAAUUGUAUAGAAAUCACGUUUUACUGCAUAGUACACAUUUUAUUCAACACACUACACAGGUAAUUCUGCAUAAUCGUUAUUUUUAUUUCCCAUGACCUGCCUUUAUACAGCUUAUACUGACACACUAUACUCAUAUUACUACAUAUAGUCACUGAAAGUCCCUUUUGAUAAAAGCAUUUAAAUAACCUAAAUUUAAUGUAGGGUAUUUAAGUCAUCAAGCAGGAAACGAUGGUAUGAAAAAUGUAGUAACCACUAAGUUAUGUAUAGUGAGACCUCCACCACACAUCAUCCACAUCAGAACAUCCAUAUCCAUUCAAACACACAGUAAAGGUUGUGCGCUCUUGUCUAACAUGAUUUGUAUUAAAAACACCCAGACAUACGGCUAAAACACACACACACACACACACACACACACACACACACACACACACACACACACACACACACACACACACACACACACACACACACACACACACACACACAAUGUCGGCAAUCCAUGCACUAACAAACAUGCAACUCACCAGGUAGUGAGGUCAUGAAGUCCAAAGAGACGACUUUGGUCUCUCCCUGCAAACCGGGGGAAACCAGGCCGGCUGAUCCAAGUCCCACAACCCUACAGCCCGAAAGUCCUGCAACCUACAAGUUGGAAAGCUACACAGAGACUGUGUGUGUGAGAGAGAGGAGGAGGAGGAGUUUGGUGUGAGUGCAGGGAGAGUGUGUGUGCGAGAGGGCGCGAGGAGUGUGUUUGACUGCAGGGAGAGAGUGUGUGCGAGAGAGGUUGUUACCUCCCCUCAGAGUUGGAAACUGAGUCACAGAG
ensembl:lncRNA